CCAGUUCAGGGUGUACCCCGCCUCCUGCCCGAUGACAGCUGGGAUAGGCUCCAGCACGCCCGCGACCCUAGUGAGGAGAAGCGGCUCAGAAAAUGGAUGGAUGGAUGGAUGGAAAUACCCCUACAUAUUUAGUUUUGUUCUGGUUUCUUCUGUCAUGCUUUAAACAAGUGUAAUUUCCUUCUGCAUAAUGGGCCAUGAGUGGUACUGUACUUUUAGGUAAUUUUGGCCACAUAUUCUCAUACUUGGCGCAUCGAGAGCUAACAUUAUGGUCUAUUUUGUAUAUUUCAAUCAUGCAAUUUAGUGAAUCAAUAUCCAUAAUUGGUUCUGGAGCUGAACAUACAGUGGGUCGUGCGGCUGCACACAUUAUACAAUCCCCAAAAUUGCCAAGUCGGGCAGGUCUUGUAAUUAGGCUAUCCACAGGUUUUGUUUUGUGUAUCCUGUGGCUAAAGCUAAAAUUUGACCUGAUGUAAUUUUGUCUGUGUUGAAAAUUUCCACUAUGCUCGGUGGGUUAUGUAUUUUGACCUGAUGUAAUUUUGUCUGUGUUGAAAAUUUCCACUAUGCUAGGUGGGUUGUUAAGUAUUUGUACGACAGGAGGGUUUGCAACAGCCUCAGAACUUGAUUGGUUGUUAGCGGUUGAUUCUUCCUCAAAUACAUUGAUGUGGAUAAGACCACGUGGGUCUCUUCCAGAAACAUUCGCUCCAAUCACUAAAUAUGAAUGUUGUGUUUGUACCAUUGAUGAUUAGCAUAAUAGGGUUUUGUGUUGAAUCAUAAUUUCUUUGGAAUUUUAUUCUAUCCAUUAUUGCAUUGUGGUUUUUGUGGCCCUUAAUGCCUUUGUCCACCAUUUUUUGUGCGGUCCACCUGCCGUUAAAAUGGGUGGUUUGUCCCCAUGUCUGACACCAUGUGUGACUAUAUGGCAAAUUCUGCGCGCAUCGGGUCUGUACCGUCUGGUCGAAACAUAAGUAGAUAUCUGUUCCUCUCUACGAGCUGUUAUAGCCUCCACAGUUAAUCACUUCACAUAAGUCAAAAACAUAAGCAUUGUUUGUUCCUUUCUUUGUGAUUAAUUGUAAUUUGGAAUGGUAUUCCACAUUUGCUUGGUACCCUUUCUCUUGCUAUAUGAAUUGUUGGUCUACUAAAUUCCCCCUGUUUGCCGAAUGCAACUUGAGGCAAUAAAUGCAACACUAAUGAAACAAUCAUAGUGGUUUGGCAACGCGAUAUUGUGACCUGUGGAACCAGGUAGUCCCUUUUCCUACAAGUUGGUAGGCGUGUGCAGUCCUCGCAGUCACGGUGAACGGUCCCGUCCACCUUGGUUCAAACCAAUUCCUCUUUAUCACUCGAACCCAAACAGAUGCAGGUGGAUUAUCGCCGUCCGACUGGAUGCCUGCAAAGCUGGACAGAACUGUCAGGUUCAAACAACCUCGAACAUUUAAUAAACAAUAAACAAGGAAGGAAGACAAGAGAUGGUUUAUAUACUCGCGAGGAGAACGCUAAGAGUUGUUCGCAGUUUACAAACUACUACCGCUCUGAACACACACUGUCGAUCCCUUUCUUUUUAUUUUCUUCGGGCGGUUCCUAGUUACACAGCUGUUGCUGCUAUAAAGUUGGGGGAGCACAAAGCAGCAACAUGUAAACAGACUCACAGACAACUUCAAUAUACAUGAUACAAUCAACAUUAUACUCAAUCAACAUUAUACUGCUAAAUGCAUGCUUUGAAAUAGGAUUAGAGUAAACAUGAGAUAACUUAUAUACUUUUAUUCUGACAAGAACACCUCUUAAUUGAUCAAAGUAAGACAGGCUCGACAAGGAAGAAAAAGACUCAAAAGAUGAGCCAGAAACUGGACCAGGAAAAGAAAAACCAUGGUAUAUUUUGAAAGGGCUGAGUUUGUGUGUACUAUUUACAGAUGCUCUGAUGGACUUGAGCACAAUUGGGAGAGCUCUCAACCAUGACAUAUUUGACUGUGCACAGCAUUUAGCCAAUUUUUGUUUUAAAGUUGCAUUCAUACGUUCAACGACUCCUUUUGUUCACUACUAGUUCAAUUACAGCCCAUCCAGCCACUAGUUCCCCAUUGUUUUUCCUAUAACAACAACCAUCCGUAAACAACUUUCUCCCUUCCUUCAACGGUUCCGACAAUAAAUCUGAACGACAUGCUUUGUCUUUUCUAGCCUUCGGCUCACACCAAUGCAUUCCUUCAGUUACACCGUCGGCCAUGUUAGUAUUGACAGGUGUAAACUGAAUAUGCGGUUGUUGUAACAAUGAUAAUAUUUUCAUUUUUCGCUUGUUUGAAAAAGUAAAUAGUCGUGAGUUGAUGAAGUGGUUGUGGAGUGUGUGGUGUGUACGCAGAGCAGGUGCAUAAGCACCACGUGUGCACAUUUUCUUAUAAGAGCCGCAGCUGCUGCUGCAUACCUCUCGCAGUCAGAUGCACGUGCUACUAUUGGUUCUAACAAAACACUCGUGUGUAGUAGUACCUUUCUUUCGCCCCGUACUAGUUGGUACAAUACUGCAACAGCAGUAUGAGGUUUUUUUUCAAGAUGUCCAAAUGAAAUGGUUGUUUAUAGUUAGAAAGUGCCAAAGUAAUGUCUUGUCUUAAUUCGUUUAAUUUGUAUGAAGAGUUCUUUCUCAUCAUGUGUCCAAUUGAGUUUAGCCGGCAGAUUUCUUAAUCCAGUUUAAGUGCCAAUGAAAUGUGAGGCGCAGAAAAUGGCAUUUUGAACCAAGGCAAUAAAUCUGAUGUCAGGUCAACCACUGCCGUAACACCCUCUCCUCCCACCACUAGUCUAUCAGUUGGGAAAAUACCAUGAGUGUCUGAUAGUUUUUCAAAAAUUCUUGUUGAUAAAUCAAAUCGUGUUCUCUAUCAUAGAACAAGGUACAAUGUGGAGGGUCAGGGGCUGGCAGGAUUGGCCCCAAGGACACAACCCACGGCUUCCACUCCGCAAAUGCCUGCAGCACGGUGUUAUUUAUUUGACACGUGUCGCGCAGUCCCCAAUAGAUGUCAGCAACAGGAGUCACAGUUUUUUGUUGGACACAUGCCAGCACAUUUGGCCGGCAGCAUGGUUCCAUCUGGAAACACAAUGUCAAGUCCGUGUACUGCACAGACAAUGGCAGCAUUACAUUUCUGUAAAAUGUCUCUUUGGUACAUUUCCCCUGCCUCGUCCUGUUGUUUCACCACGUCCUCUGGGCAGCAGGUUGGGAGAACAGUUGGCAGUGUGUCCCUCUUGUCCACAGGUGAAACAACUGUAGUUACUCUGUGCUUCAGCAGGGCCUCGACAGACACGUGCAACGUGUCCAAUUUUUCCACAUACGAAGCAUCUUAUGGAGUUCGCGCCGCGGGACUGACCCCUGAAACCACCUCCCACCCCCCUCUAGUCUGCUGCUGUAGUAGCAAAGUGGCCCACGUCGGGUCCUGCGACAGGAGCUGAGGUGCCAUGACAGCGGCCACCAAAGGGGUCCUAGUUGAGUUGAGUUCUCGCCGCAGAAGUGGAAGUUCGCAGACAGACAAAUGCGUCUGUGAUCGAUGAAGCAAUGAGCACAUCUAAUCAGAGAAUCGAGAGUUGGCGGGGCUUUCUCCGUCGAGAGAGUGUGGGGAAUUCUGGCUGGACCUCUUCCACAGACUGAAGGAUAUUUUGAUGGCGACCUACUGGACAAGAACCUCAUGUUGUUUUGCUUCCUUGGUUUAAUACAG